rnacentral:rRNA from 1 species
CCCUUAGAUGUUCUGGGCCGCACGCGCGCUACACUGAUGCACUCAACGAGUCUCACCUUGACCGAAAGGUCCGGGAAAUCUUCGAACUUGCAUCGUGAUGGGGAUAGAUUAUUGCAACUAUUAAUCUUCAACGAGGAAUACCUAGUAGGCGUGUGUCAUCAGCGCGCGUCGAUUACGUCCCUGCCCUUUGUACACACCGCCCGUCGCUCCUACCGAUUGAAUGGUCCGGUGAAAUCUCGGGACGGCGGCUUGGUCGCUUGCGUCCGACUGCUGAAACUUGAUUAAACCAUAUCAUUUAGAGGAAGGUGAAGUCGUAACA